GUCCCAACACUGUUGCAUAGGGAAUUAAGUUUCCAACCACGAACUUUAGGGGAUACAUUCAAACCAUAACAAUGACUGAAAGGGCAUCUGAUUUCAGCUUACUAAAAGACUACCUGACGUUAAGAGCAAUGCUUUCUUUGAAAAGAAUUAUAGACUGUGGGCUGUGCCAAUGCUCCUAGACAUCCAUUAUUUAAUAAGCUCCUUGUUAUUGCCACAAGUUAUGUGUUAA
rnacentral:lncRNA from 1 species